rnacentral:rRNA from 1 species
UACACUCCUGCGGGAGGCAGCAGUGGGGAAUAUUGGACAAUGGGCGCAAGCCUGAUCCAGCCAUGCCGCGUGAGUGAUGAAGGCCCUAGGGUUGUAAAGCUCUUUCACCGGUGAAGAUAAUGACGGUAACCGGAGAAGAAGCCCCGGCUAACUUCGUGCCAGCAGCCGCGGUAAUACGAAGGGGGCUAGCGUUGUUCGGAUUUACUGGGCGUAAAGCGCACGUAGGCGGACUAUUAAGUCAGGGGUGAAUCCCGGGGCUCAACCCCGGAACUGCCUUUGAUACUGGUAGUCUUGAGUUCGAGAGAGGUGAGUGGAAUUCCGAGUGUAGAGGUGAAAUUCGUAGAUAUUCGGAGUAACACCAGUGGCGAAGGCGGCUCACUGGCUCGAUACUGACGCUGAGGUGCGAAAGCGUGGGGAGCAAACAGGAUUAGAAACCCCUGUAGUCCCAUGAU